rnacentral:rRNA from 1 species
UAGGGAAUCUUCGGCAAUGGACGAAAGUCUGACCGAGCAACGCCGCGUGAGUGAAGAAGGUUUUCGGAUCGUAAAACUCUGUUGUUAGAGAAGAACAAGGACGUUAGUAACUGAACGUCCCCUGACGGUAUCUAACCAGAAAGCCACGGCUAACUACGUGCCAGCAGCCGCGGUAAUACGUAGGUGGCAAGCGUUGUUCGGAUUUAUUGGGCUUAAAGCGAGCGCUGGCGGUUUCUUAAGUCUGAUGUGAAAGCCCCCGGCUCAACCGGGGAGGGUCAUUGGAAACUGGGAGACUUGAGUGCAGAAGAGGAGAGUGGAAAUCCAUUUGGGACGGUGAAAGGCGUAGAUAUAUGCAGGAACACCAGUGGCGAAGGCGGCUCUCUGGUCUGAAACUAACGCUGAGGCUCGAAAGCGUGGGGAGCAGACAGG